AAUCCAUGGUGUGGACAUUCGCUCAACAAAUCAUUAAAACGUUCAAAAUAGUCAAAAACAGUUUCCUCAUCCAAUUGGACAAAACAAUUGAUACUUUGACUAAUAGC